rnacentral:lncRNA from 1 species
ACCACAAUAUACAGCUACUACUCAGCAAAUGGAACAGAGGGGGAGAGAUCAGCAAACAAUAAACCAGAAAUCCCAGCAAAUUGGAUACAGGCUGUGGAAGAACUCAAAACACAACUAAGAGAGGCUGAAGACAAUUGGGAAAAGAACUUAAAAAUUAAGAUGUCAUCUGGAAACAGAGGCACUUGAACUAAAAUAAGAAAAUAGUGUCUUGAAAGCCAAAAUCAACCAGCUGGAAAAUGAGGCAAAGGAGGUGAAAGAUGAGGCAAAGGAAAUGAAAGAUGAGGUAAAGAGGAUGAAAGACGAUCUACAAAGAAAAUCAGACCAGAAGGAUAAAGACGACCGAAAAGCCAGAGAUGAAAUCCAAUCUUUAAGAACCAGAAUACAACAACUAGAAUCAAGUGACCUCACAAGGCAGCAGGACACUAUGAAACAAAACAAAAAGAAUGAAAAAUUGAGGAAAAUGUGAAGCAUCUCAUUCACAAAACAGAUGAUCUAGAAAAUUGUUCAAGAAGAAACAAUUUAAGAAUAAUUGGACUACCAGAAGACCACAACAAAAGAAAAAGCCUGGACAUAAUACUAGAAGAAAUUAUCCAGGAAAACUGUCCCGAGAUCCUAGAAUAAGAGGGGAAAGUGGAGAUUGAAAGAAUCAACAGAUCACCCCCUGUAUUUAAUCCCCAACUGACAACACCAAGAAAUGUUAUAGCCAAAUUCAAAAACAAUCAGAUGAAAGAAAAGAUAUUACAAGCUGCCAAGAAGAAGCCAUUCAGAUACCAUGGAAACAUGGUGAAGUUAACACAGGAUCUAGCUGCAUCCACACUGAAGGACCGAAAGGUAUGGAAUACAAUAUUCCAGAAAGCAAGGGAACUAGGUCUACAACCAAGAAUAAAAUACCCAUCAAAACUGACUAUAUUCUUACAGGGGAAAGUAUGGUCAUUCAAAACAACAGAAGAGUUCCAAGCAUUCAUAAAGAAAAGACCAGACCUGAACAGAAAAUUUGAUGUCCAAGAACAGAACUCAAGAGAAUCAUCAAAAGGGGAAAAGAUUCUUCAGGAUCAAGAACUGGAAGACAUGGUGCAUAGCCUAGAGAAGAAUGGGAGGAAGACCACAUGGCAGUAGCAAAAACAAGUUACAAUUAUUUCUAAUUUAAUAAUUCAAUUUAUUCAAAAUUCAAAUGAACCUCAAAAUCUUGACUUUAAUUGUUUUCAGCAUCACUAACACCUCCACUAGAGGGCAGGCAAGGGCAUGUAGAGAAAACUGAAACAUUCUUAUGAAUGUUUGGUAGGGCAGAAUUUUUCAGACUUUGUUUAUUUUUUUAUUAUUUUUAAUAAUUUGUUUAUUAUUUGUUUAUUAUUAAUUUUGUUUGUUUAUUUUGUUUGUUUAUUAUUAAUUCCCUGUAUGGAACAAGAAGAUACUGA